rnacentral:rRNA from 1 species
CAGCCGCCGCGGUAAAACGAAGGGUGCAAGCGUUACUCGGAAUUACUGGGCGUAAAGCGUGCGUAGGCGGUUUGUUAAGUCUGUUGUGAAAUCCCCGGGCUCAGCCUGGGAAUGGCAAUGGAUACUGGCAAGCUAGAGUGUGUCAGAGGAUGCUGGAAUUCCCGGUGUAGCGGUGAAAUGCGUAGAGAUCGGGAGGAACAUCAGUGGCGAAGGCGGCCAUCUGGGACAACACUGACGCUGAGGCACGAAAGCGUGGGGAGCAAACAGGAUUAGAUACCCGGGUAGUCCCUGUCUCUUAUAC